CACGUAGGCGGACAUUUAAGUCAGGGGUGAAAUCCCGGGGCUCAACCCCGGAACGGCCUUUGAUACUGGGUGUCUUGAGUUCGGAAGAGGUGAGUGGAAUUGCGAGUGUAGAGGUGAAAUUCGUAGAUAUUCGCAGGAACACCAGUGGCGAAGGCGGCUCACUGGUCCGAUACUGACGCUGAGGUGCGAAAGCGUGGGGAGCAAACA
rnacentral:rRNA from 1 species